AAGAUAGUCUCAUCUUUCAAUUGUUUGUUAGGCCUUGUCAUUCCUCAGACCGGGGUACAAGGACUGGGCCCUGGUGGGGUUGGACCUUGGGGAAAAGCAGCAAAGGCCGGAAAAGCUCCAGUACCAGGAGUGGGAGUGCCUGGACCAUAUCACGGAGGACUUGUUCCUGGACAAGGCUUCAAUGGGCGGGGUGUUCUUCCUGGUGUAGCCACAGGAACUGGACUCAAACCUAAAUCAGGUGAAGUCUCAAUGAAAAUGACAUCAGUCAUUGCAGUGAAAUAAAUUAUA
rnacentral:lncRNA from 1 species